rnacentral:lncRNA from 1 species
GUUAAAUUUUGUAUUGUAGAUUAAAAAUUUAUGUUUAUCGUAGUUUUUACCUUUAUAAGAAUGUUUUUGUGUGGAUCGAAUCAGUUAAUCAAAUUAUUUACCUAGUUUCACUUUCAAUGUUGACAUUCUUUUCCUUUAAAUACCCGUACACGGACAAUGCAUGCAUGCGUUAUUCUAUCUCUUUCUACGGGGUUAAAUUGGAGCUCACAUGAAUACGGAUUUAGAGAGGUCGACUUAUUCACUUGCAAGUGAAUAAGUCAUUAU